UUGACCUCGGAUCAGGUAGGAAUACCCGCUGAACUUAAGCAUAUCAAAAGCCGAAGGAAUUCCCCCUCCCAAACCCAUGGGGAACCCAACCAAAUGGUGGCCCGGGGGGGCCCCGCCCCGGGGGGGUCCAAACCCGGAACCGGGGCCCCCCGGAGGGACCAACCAAAAUUUUUCUGGAGCCCCCUCGGGGGGUUUUUUUUUACCGGUUUUGGCAAAAUUCAAAUGAACAAAAUUUCCAAAACGAGCUUUGGUUUUGGCCCCAUGAAAAACCCACCAAAGGGAUAAGAAUGGGGAUGCGAGAAUCAGGAAUCUCGAAACUUGAAUCCCAUGGGCCCCCCCGAAUUCUGGGGGAUGGCUGUCAAAGUUUUUAACCCUCAGGCCCCCGGGGGCCCCUUGGGGUCGGAAACCGUAACGGAUCCCGAACCCCAAAAAAGGGGCUUUCCCCGCCACUGGGGCAUAAUCGCACACCAGCCAGAGAGCGCGCGGUCCCUCCUCGGCCGCUCUGACAUAAGUCUGAAACCCUAUAUUAUAAUGUAUGUAGGAGAAAAAAC
rnacentral:rRNA from 1 species